rnacentral:lncRNA from 1 species
AUGGUGACUACUGACGAGCAUCCUGUAGGAAGUUCUUUAAGAAAUAAGGGAAGAAUGGUUUGGUUGUGGCUCCUAAUGCUUGGGUUUAGGACAUUUAUUUUAAACUUGGUCACCCUACUUCUAAUUUCCAUUUCUUGCUGUGUUGGUUUUCAAAUGAUGACACAGAAUAUGAGCUAUUUCUUGCUUCAUUUCCAUACCUGUCCUCCUUAUGGUGAAAAAAACCAAAAUUUCUCCAACCAAUCAUCAAAAAGAUCAGACUGCUUGUAAUGAAGAUACAAUGAUCAGUCUUCAAGAAUCAGAGGAUCUUCCUAGAGAUGAGAGGGAUCAACACCAAGGGCAUGCAGGUUUUGGUAUGUGGGUAUCUGUAACUAUGAAUGCAAAUGAAUUGGUGGACUCUUACUACAGUUCCUGGAAGGUUUUUUCCCUAAUCAAUUUCACUAUGUGAAAAAGGAUUCAGUGUCUCUUCUUGAGUUUCUAUGCAAGCAGAGCCUAUCUUUCCUGUUCUAUAUGCAGCUUCUCAGCAUGCUUUCUCAUAGCCCAUUAAUUCUGUGUCAGUUGGCAACCCCCUGCCUUGCUGCUCUGGUUCUGGAUGGCAGGGCUGCUGCAGUCCAUUCCCUCUUCACUCUGCUGGAGCUGGAGAGAUCUGGUGGGUGCUGUAGCACUGGGGGUGGUGUCAUCAGGUAUUUGUGCUGAGUUGAUCUCUGUCUGAUGAAAAACAUUCUCUUCCAAUUUGCGUGCCACUGUUCAAGGGCUAGAAUGUCGUCUUUGCAAUCGUUCUUCUCAUGCAGUAUUCAGAGAAACUAACAAACACCAAUGGACAAUGAGACAGGGGUUUAUUUUGGCUACAGUCAACAAAGAAGAGGCAUUUUUGCUCUCUCUAGGGCUCUUUGUGUGUGUUCUGCAAUCAGUGUAUGCCCACACCAAGGUCCAUAUCCUGAUAUGGUGGCCAUGAUGCUUAUGAAUGCUUAGAAGAGUUAGGUGUCUUUCUGUGUUGACUUCAGAUUACAGGGGUAUCAAAGCCUCUGAAGGAAAUGAAAAGCAUAUUCUAGCUUCUGUCUCUCCUUCUACCACUGGAUUCUUGUAGAGGUAUAGAUACUGGCAAAGGAUCUAUAAUAUCCAAAUACAGUCCUCAUGUUUAUGCUUACCUUAGUCCUACCUAGUCUCUUUGUAAGCAUAAGUUGCCAUGACUGUGCAGUGCUAUAGACCCUCUUACCCCAUGAAAGUGGGAUUUGACCCCAUGGAAAAUACACUGACAAAUCAAAAUGUG